GAAAAGAAACCAACAGGGAUUGCCCUAGUAACGGCGAGUGAAGCGGCAACAGCUCAAAUUUGAAAUCUGGCUCUCGGGCCCGAGUUGUAAUUUGUAGAGGAUGCUUUUGAUGCGGUGCCUUCCGAGUUCCCUGGAACGGGACGCCAUAGAGGGUGAGAGCCCCGUCUGGUUGGAUGCCAAAUCUCUGUAAAGCUCCUUCGACGAGUCGAGUAGUUUGGGAAUGCUGCUCUAAAUGGGAGGUAUAUGUCUUCUAAAGCUAAAUACCGGCCAGAGACCGAUAGCGCACAAGUAGAGUGAUCGAAAGAUGAAAAGCACUUUGAAAAGAGAGUUAAAAAGUACGUGAAAUUGUUGAAAGGGAAGCGUUUAUGACCAGACUUGGGCUUGGAUAAUCAUCUGGGGUUCUCUCCAGUGCACUUUUCCAGUCCAGGCCAGCAUCAGUUUUCGCCGGGGGAUAAAGGCUUCGGGAAUGUGGCUCUCUCCGGGGAGUGUUAUAGCCCGUU
rnacentral:rRNA from 2 species